rnacentral:rRNA from 1 species
UGGGGAAUUUUGCACAAUGGGGGAAACCCUGAUGCAGCGACGCCACGUGAUUUAGAAGGCCUUCGGGUUGUAAAAAUCUUUUUUACGGUAUGAAAAUGACAGUACCGUAAGAAUAAGGUCCGGCUAAAUACGUGCCAGCAGCCGCGGUAAUACGUAUGGACCGAGCGUUGUCCGGAAUCAUUGGGCGUAAAGGGUACGUAGGCGGCCUAGUAAGUUAGAAGUGAAAUAAUAUAGCUCAACUAUAUAAAGCUUUUAAAACUGCUAGGCUUGAGAGAUGGAAGGGAAAGUGGAAUUCCUAGUGUAGCGGUGAAAUGCGCAGAUAUUAGGAAGAAUACCGGUGGCGAAGGCGACUUUCUGGUCAUCAUCUGACGCUGAGGUACGAAAGCGUGGGUAGCAAACAGG